AGGUACAUAAGCAUAUCGUACGCUAGUUACUUGCUGCAUAAACCACUUUCCCUUUCAAAAUUUAUAGCUUGAUAUUGAUACCAUUGAGCAGCAUUCUGGCAUCAACCUUUUUGCUGAUUAAGUGGAUCAUAACCUCUUGAACGCAUUGGGGUUGUCUCUUGAGUACUAUUUGACAUUCUCUUCUUUGAAUUUUUCUUCUUUCAGUUCCAAAAGAUAAAAGAUGCCAUCCGACUGCACAAUACAGAUCGAUGCAGCAUUGGUCCAGCCAAGGGACCUGAAGGGUUUACCUUGGAAUCUUUAUCCGUGCAGACGAAUGCAGCCAAGCCAGCUUGAUCGCCAACCUUUUAGAUUCAUUUCUGUAACAAUCUUUGGUUGCUCACGCAAACACUGAACUUAAUAUUCUGUAUAUCUGUCACUUUAUCUGUAUAAAAAAAUCCUUCCUGAAGCAUGUUAUGAUACUUUUGCGAAUAGACAAAUCGCACAUGUAUUUUAACUAACUGCUUCGUAAUUGCUACCAAAGCAAAGCUUAUUGAUGUAUGAUGCACGUGUUAGGUUUAAUAUAUUUGCAUAAUUUUGGGUUAUAUUGCCAAGUUUCUCAGAACGAGCAAUUGUGAUAAGACAAUGAGUACAAUAUUUUCUUAAUUUUCAAUUCAUCUUAUUAUAUACUUACAAAGUCUGUAGUUUGUGUAAUCUUUGCUCUGUUCUUCGAUCUUUCAAUAAAUAAUAUUUCAGUGAAAAAAAAAACUUCUCAAGACUCAAGUGGAAGUAAAGAUAAGUCAAGGGGCCAAAACCCAAACGUAAUAGGACUAUGAGGACUGUUUGAUAAAUAUUUUAACGAUUAAAGUCUUUUUUUUUUUAUCUGUGUCUGUUUCCAGAUUCACGCGCCGCCGCGAAAACGAGUAAAGAAAAAUCCAAAACUCGGCGAAGGUUGAGAAAGGAGAAAGGUGAGAGAUGCAAUCCCAAGGAAUAUGGAGCACACUAUGGAGGAAAUACGCAGAUUAUAAGUACAACAAGUUCGAGAGGUUCGCUGUCUGGGAGAUGAUCGAGCCUUACCGUCGACCCAAAACCUUCACAGCUUUGAUUACUAUCUACGUCGCCGCCUUUUACACCGGCGUCAUCGGGGCUGCGGUUACAGAGCAGCUUUACAAGGUAACCUUCGCCAGUGUUAUCGAUUCCACUCGGGUUGUGAUUAGAUUUUGUGGGUUUCUCGUGAUUUGCAAUUCUAGGGUUUCGAAUUGGGAUAAAGUUGAAACCUUUCUUUUGGUGAUGAUCGAGAUUUAGGGAUAAAGUUGAAACCUUUCUUACACUGUUUGAUGUGAACCAAUUACAAGACUAAAGUUAUGCUUCUUGUUCUUCUGUAUGCUUAUGGUUACUCCACUGAUAUUAUAUAAACAGGAGAAGUUUUGGGAAGAGCACCCAGGCAAAACGGUGCCUCUGAUGAAGCCAUUGUACUAUCGAGGACCAUGGAGGGUUUAUCGUGGUGAAGCUAUUGCUUCUGAUGCUAGCAGCAGCCAGUGAGGGUGCUGAGCUUCGCUGGUAUAUAUACAAAACAACUUUGUGUUCUGUAGAAUGCUUGUGUCGCCCCUACUUUGAGUUGUUUCUAGGUUUAUAUGAAUUAAAGCUGGCUGGUAUAUUUUUCUUGUAGACAAUAAGGUUAAGAAUUUGAUUCUUGAAACUCAUGUAAUGGCAGUCUUUGUUAUAACAUUAAGGUUUUGCUAUGAGAAGUUUAAGGGUUUCCAUCCACUCCUUUGAAUCUCUCUCUCUCUCUCCCCUUUCCAUUAUUAGUACAUUGGUAUCUACCUCUCUUCUGGUGUCCUGAAAUAAAACAUUCCAAAUGAGAGAGACGUUCUAACCACCUCAGAAACAUCGAGCCACCAUAGAUUUAUCUCUUGACAGUCUUGUCUUCAUAUAGGUUCCUUUGGUUUUAUUCUCUGUUUCUCUCUUCUUGUCUUGGUGGUCGUUUGUGAUCGAAUAUGACAACGUACGGCACUAUACCAUCCCAAGCAAAUGCCGUCCCGAACCAGAGCAUGUUGGGACGAGCAAAAGGGUUGAUCUCGUUAGGCCUUAGCUCUCGGAGACCAUGGCUUGAACUUGUCCAGUGGAGCUCCCUUAGCCUUCCUACCUCAUUCACUGUUGCCACAGAACGAAUCAAAACCAACAUCAUGAUCUUCCGAACCAACUAUCUUGUCAUCUUCGUUGUUGCUAUCUUCAUCAGCAUGCUUUGGCAGCCUGUCCACCUCUCAGUCUUCGUUGUCCUGAUCAUCGCAUGGCUAUAUGUCUACUCCCGGGAUAACGAACCACUGGUGAUAUUUGGCAGUGUGAUCGAUGACUCUGCUUUGGUGCUGACUUUGUUGGUCCUCACGCUCUGUAUUAUUCUAUUAACUAACGUAACCGGUGGUAUUCUGCUCGCGGUUUUGGCUGGUCUGCCCGUUGUUCUAGUGCAUGGCAUGUGUAGGAAUACAGAGUCAUUGUUCGUCUUGGAAGAUGAUGAAGAGAAAGUAGCCACAAUGAGCGUAGUAUCCUCCUCGCUUUCUUCUUCCUCUUUAACAAAAUGAAACAUUAUGUUUAUGUAAUGAUACAAGUUUCAGACCUUAGUGACACCAUAUUUAGCUAGUCUCUAGGUACUACCAUAUUUUCUAAAAAAUUGCUUGUGGGCGUAAUAAAUAUUCUCUUCUUCUCUGAAUGCAAAUAGUAUGAUAGAAAAACUUUGGAGAUCUUUGCAAUUCCAGUAUAGAAUACUUGUUUUAAUAAAUCCAGAUAAAAGUAGUUUCAUGUAUUUUAUGUAAAUAGUCAAUUCUAUACAUCAAUCUUUUACUCUUUUUCUUUGAAAUUGCACACUUACUGGUACCAUUAAAAUCACUGCAGUGGCAGUACCAUUAAUUAAAAGGUAUUACUAUUUAUUAUAUGAACCCAAUAAGAAAAUAAACAUUCUAUAUAAUUAUUAAAGUUGAUAUCAUUAUCCUUCAAUAUUGUAGUAAUUGUAAUUGCCCUACUGGGUUAUAGUUUUACCUUACAUUUUUUCGUAAUAUUUUAUUUAAUAAGAAUUUUCCUUGCGUUUCCGCUAUAUUUUCAUAGUUCUUAGGAGUUACUUGUCUAGUGGCAAAUCGCAAUGGAAGACAUUAGUAAGGCCGUUGCCAUUGGAUAACUUCUUUAAAAUCAUCCUCUUUGUCUUCUCGUGACUAAUAACCAAGACAUAUUUCUUCUCCACCAAAACUGCUUGAACAAUAUUAUUGAACUCUGUGCCUCCUCCUCUAGCCACAAAAGCUAUUAGUAGUUUAUUUGAAAAGGCUAAUUUUUAUAUUGAUUGAUUGUUGCGUUGGUUACGUCACUGUGGUGUUAUAUACCUUCUAUAUAUGAAUCAUAUACAGAAUAUGUUUUUGAGAGAUUUGAAAAAAUACUACAAUGAUUAUCAUCAGGUCCAUAAUAUACGUAAAUCUUCACUAGUUUUGAAAAAAAAUAUGAGAAAAGCAAAAAAAAAAGCAAAAUAUUGUCAAAAUACAAUAAAAUUAUGAUAAAAAUAAAUUUAAAAUAGAAAAUAUUAUCAAGUAAAUAUGAUAUAAAAUAGAUUAAACCCAAUAAUAGAUAUAAUUGUUAAUAAUUAGUUGAUUAAUACAAAUAUAGAAAUAAACUAUAUUUUGUUAACUAUUUGAGUAAAGUAAAAAAUAAUUGUUAGGAUCUUGAAGAUUUGUAACAUGAACACUAACUCUUUAACUGUAGUUCAAAAAAAGAAAAAAAGUCAAAACACUAACUCAUUAACUUAAAUGAGUUAUGGACUAACAUAUAAGAUCAAAACUAUUUAGAUAUAGUUUCAAUAGAAUAUCACAUGUGUGUAUUCUAAAAUCAAUACUAUUAAAACAGUAACACGAAAUAUGGACCUAACUUGAUCCUAGGUAGAGUAUUUAAAAAAACUAUAUCUUAUACAAUUUAACUAACAUGUAAUGUUAUUAACUAUAUAUCUUUAAAUAUAGUUUAAAUAUGGUAAGAUUUAAAGAAAUAAAUCUAAACAAAUAUCUCAGUCAAUUAUGUAUUAAUUGAGAUCUUACAUAUCAAAUUCCUUUUAAUGCAACUAUAAUAAAUUAUAUUUUGAAAUAUUUCUGACAUUUUAAAGCUUAGUUCUCAUUCUCAAACAAUAUAAAUAAGAAAAAAAAAUUAAUAUAUGCAGCAUUGGUCCAGCCAAGGGACCUGAAGGGUUUACCUUGGAAUCUCUAUCCGUGCAGACGAAUGCAGCCCAACCAGCUGGAUCAAGUUGAAAUGUCACAUUGGUAGAUUUAUUACUGCAACAAUCUAUGGUUGCUCAAGCAAACACUGAGCUUACUAUUCUG
rnacentral:lncRNA from 1 species